UACGGAGGAUCCGAGCGUUAUCCGGAUUUAUUGGGCUUAAAGGGUGCGCAGGCGGGAGAUUAAGUCGGCGGUGAAAUUUUGCAGCUCAACUGUAAAAGUGCCUUCGAAACUGGUUUCCUUGAGUGUGGAUGAAGUAGGCGGAAUUUGUGGUGUAGCGGUGAAAUGCAUAGAUAUCACGAGGAACUCCGAUUGCGCAGGCAGCUUACUAAACCACUACUGACGCUCAUGCACGAAGGCGUGGGGAUCAAACAGGAUUAGAUA
rnacentral:rRNA from 1 species